rnacentral:rRNA from 1 species
CAGCCGCCGCGGGAAUACGUAGGUGGCAAGCGUUGUCCGGAAUUAUUGGGCGUAAAGGGCUCGCAGGCGGUUUCUUAAGUCUGAUGUGAAAGCCCCCGGCUCAACCGGGGAGGGUCAUUGGAAGCUGGGAAACUUGAGUGCAGAAGAGGAGAGUGGAAUUCCACGUGUAGCGGUGAAAUGCGUAGAGAUGUGGAGGAACACCAGUGGCGAAGGCGACUCUCUGGUCUGUAACUGACGUUGAGGAGCGAAAGCGUGGGGAGCGAACAGGAUUAGAUACCCGUGUAGUCCCUGUCUCUUAUAC